UCAGGUAUGACAAAGAAUUGGGUUUUGCUAUAUAAGCAAUCUGAAUUUUUUAACACUGUAGUGCAGGAAGAUACCCUCAAGCAGGGGGGAGCGGAGCUGGAAUUCGUGUUGUGUGAGCCUGUGAUUAGUAUCAGUUUGAUCCUCCAGAAGGAGACAGAAAUGAAGCAGCCCACUCCUGUUUCCGUAUCGCAGACAUACAUCCUUUUCACAUCUUCAGCCUGUCUAUUUCCAUGCUUCUGAGUGGGAGAGGUUUGUUGAGAGAGACAGAGCAUGAACGGGGGAGGGUCAGAGAGAGAG